GGCUGUUUAGCUCAGGUGGUCAGGGUAUUGAGCUAAUGAGAACAAGGUCACAGGUUCAAUCUUUGUGUGGGCCA